rnacentral:rRNA from 1 species
ACGACGCUGGCGGCGUGCCUAAUACAUGCAAGUCGAACGGUCUUUCUAUGGAAGCUUGCUUCCACUGAGAAGAUAGUGGCGAACGGGUGAGUAACACGUGGGUAACCUGCCCAUAAGAGGGGGAUAACAUCCGGAAACGGGUGCUAAUACCGCAUAGUUUUCUUGAUCGCAUGAUCGGGAAAGGAAAGACGGCCUUUGUGCUGUCGCUUAUGGAUGGACCCGCGGCGUAUUAGUUAGUUGGUGAGGUAACGGCUCACCAAGACGAUGAUACGUAGCCGACCUGAGAGGGUGAUCGGCCACAUUGGGACUGAGACACGGCCCAAACUCCUACGGGAGGCAGCAGUAGGGAAUCUUCCGCAAUGGACGAAAGUCUGACGGAGCAACGCCGCGUGAGUGAAGAAGGUUUUCGGAUCGUAAAACUCUGUUGUCAGAGAAGAACAAGUUGGAGAGUAACUGCUCCAGCCUUGACGGUAUCUGACCAGAAAGCCACGGCUAACUACGUG